GCGGGCUAAGGACUUAGCAAAGCCCUUAGCUUGAGGAAAGUCCGGGCUCCUGAAAGGUCAGGCUUGCUGGGUAAUUCCCAGUGCGGGUGACCGUGAGGAUAGUGCCACAGAAACAUACCGCCAAUGGAAAGGCGGAAGGCGGAAGGCGGAAGGCGGAAUUUAAAUUCAUCCUUCAUCCUUCAUCCUUCAUCCUUUUACAGGUAAGGGUGCAAAGGUGCGGUAAGAGCGCACCAGCAGCAUCGAGAGGUGCUGGCUCGGUAAACCCCGGCUAGGAGCAAGGUCGCAGGGGUCAUGGUUGACCUUUUUCCAGCCCCGCUUUUGGUGUAC
rnacentral:RNase_P_RNA from 1 species